UGGGGAAUAUUGCACAAUGGGCGCAAGCCUGAUGCAGCCAUGCCGCGUGUGUGAAGAAGGCCUCGGGUUGUAAAGCACUUCAGCGAGGAGGAAGGUGGUGAACUUAAUACGUUCAUCAAUUGACGUUACUCGCAGAAGAAGCACCGGCUAACCCCGUGCCAGCAGCCGCGGUAAUACGGAGGGUGCAAGCGUUAAUCGGAAUUACUGGGCGUAAAGCGCACGCAGGCGGUUUGUUAAGUCAGAUGUGAAAUCCCCGGGCUCAACCUGGGAACUGCAUUUGAAACUGGCAAGCUAGAGUCUCGUAGAGGGGGGCUGAGAAUUCCAGGUGUAGCGGUGAAAUGCGUAGAGAUCUGGAGGAAUACCGGUGGCGAAGGCGGCCUCCUGGACGAAGACUGACGCUCAGGUGCGAAAGCGUGGGGGGCCAAACAGGAUUAGAUACCCCGGUAGUCCACGCUGUAAACGAUGUCGAUUUUGGAGGUUGUGCCCCUUGAGGCGUGGCUUCCGGAGCUAACGCGUUAAAUCGACCGCCUGGGGAGUACGG
rnacentral:rRNA from 1 species